CUGCUGCCUCCCGUAGGAGUUUGGGCCGUGUCUCAGUCCCAAUGUGGCCGUUCACCCUCUCAGGCCGGCUACUGAUCGUCGCCUUGGUGGGCCGUUACCUCACCAACAAGCUAAUCAGACGCGGGUCCAUCUCAUACCACCGGAGUUUUUCACACAAGACCAUGCAGUCCCGUGCGCUUAUGCGGUAUUAGCAGUCAUUUCUAACUGUUAUCCCCCUGUAUGAGGCAGGUUACCCACGCGUUACUCACCCGUCCG
rnacentral:rRNA from 1 species